GGCCGGGGAGGUGAGCGGCGGGCGGUGGCGGCCGUUGGGGGCUGAGGCCGGAAGUGUCUGACGUACAAAAGCAUGCUUUUGGUUAGUGGCGCUUUCAUUGAUUAUUCUAGAAUCUCAGGUGGGAGGCCAGGUUCUCAAUAAAGGUGCUAAGAAAGAGAAUGUAAGACAGGAAAAUAAAUAUUCUUACUGAGACAAAACAAGUAUAUAUGGAGUCCUCUACCACAUGUGAUUCUUGAAUAUUUGAAUAAGAUGAACUUCCAGCAUUCAGGAAAGAACACUGUGAGGACGUGAGGUUGAGUUUCAUUAUAAGCUUAAGUUCACUUAACAACCCUUGAUAGAACAUUUCUAAAUGCAU
rnacentral:lncRNA from 1 species